rnacentral:rRNA from 1 species
GACGAACGCUGGCGGCGUGCUUAACACAUGCGAGUCGAACGGAAAGGCCCUGCUUGCAGGGUACUCGAGGGGGGAAGGGGUGAGUAACAGGUGGGUGAUCUGCCCUGUACUUUGGGGUAAGCCUGGGAAACUGGGUAUAAUACCGGAUAGGAGCCAUUAUUAGUGUGUGGGAUGGAAAGUUUUUUGGGUGUAGGAUGAGCUCGCGGCCUAUAAGCUGGUUGGUGGGGUAAUGGCCUACCAGGGCGGCGAGGGGUAGCCCGCCUGUGAGAGUGGGCGGCUACACUGGGACUGAGAUGCGGCCCAGACUCCUACGGGAGGAAGCAGUGGGGAAUAUUGCUCAAUGGGCGCCGGCCGGAUGCAGCGACGCCGCGUGGGGGAUGACGGCCUUCGGGUUGAAAACUCCUUUCGCUAGGGACGAAGCUUUUUGUGACGGUACCUAGAUAAGAAGCACCGGCUAACUACGUG